GCCCUUGUAGCUUAGGGGUAGAGCGUUGCACUUGUACGUCCUCGCCGAAAUGCAAAGGUCGGCGGUUCAAUUCCGCCCGGGGGCA